rnacentral:tRNA from 1 species
GCGAAAGUGGUGGAAUUGGCAGACACGUCAGACUUAGGAUCUGGUGCCGCAAGGCGUGGGGGUUCAAGUCCCCCUUUUCGCA